UACAGAGGGUGCGAGCGUUGUUCGGAAUCACUGGGCGUAAAGCGCACGUAGGCGGAUUGUUAAGUCAGGGGUGAAAUCCUGGAGCUCAACUCCGGAACUGCCUUUGAUACUGGCGAUCUUGAGUUCGGGAGAGGUGAGUGGAACUGCGAGUGUAGAGGUGAAAUUCGUAGAUAUUCGCAAGAACACCAGUGGCGAAGGCGGCUCACUGGCCCGAUACUGACGCUGAGGUGCGAAAGCGUGGGGAGCAAACAGG
rnacentral:rRNA from 1 species